CUGGAUUUCAAUGAGCAUUCCUGGCUUGGAGUCAUACGAAUGUCACCUGCCUCCCUUCCUUCCCUGGCAGUAGGGUGUAGAAAAUCCAUCAGCAGUGUUUCUUUGUGUAGCCCUCGCUGUUCUGGAACUCUGAACCAAGAUGGUCUCUGCCUUACAAGUGCUGGGAUUAAAGACAGAUUACAGAACUACACAACUUAAAAGUUUUAGAGAGAAAAAGAAGAUGAAAUUGAUUAGUCAUAAAAAUCUCAGGAUGGGGAAGGAUUUUUUUUUUAAAGUUCAAAAAUAUAACG